AAGUCGUAACAAGGUUUCCGUAGGUGAACCUGCGGAAGGAUCAUUAUUGGAGAGGGAUAAGCAAAGUGUAGUGUGAACAAGCCGAGAAGGAGGAGAUGGGUGGAUGUGGGAGAGAGUGAGAGGGUGAGUGAGAGUAGAGGGAGAGAUGGUUGAUUGGACUAAUAUCUGAUUGGCAUUACUCUCUCUUCUCUCUACUCUCUACAUUCAAACUUGAACCCACAAACACCCACUCACCCAAACAUUAUUAUAUAUCUAUUUUUUGACCAUGUGACCAUUAUAGUUGUUUGUGCUGUUUCAGUCAAACACUACGAGUCUUGAAAAACUCUCAGCAAUGGAUCUCUUGGCUCCCA
rnacentral:misc_RNA from 1 species